UUUCACAUUUAUUUUAUUUCUCCCCGAGUUCAUCACUGUUUGGUUUGGGUUUGUUUGAGGUUUGUUCGGGGUUUGUUCGGGGUUUGUUCGGGGUUUGUUCGGGGUUUGUUUGAGGUUUGUUCGGGGUUUGUUCGGGGUUUGUUCGGGGUUUGUUUGAGGUUUGUUCGGGGUUUGUUCGAGGUUUGUUCGGGGUUUGUUCGGGGUUUGUUCGGGGUUUGGCUAAUUUCAUGUGUUUGCUCACUAGUUAAGGCAUUGCCCUACUGAUCAGAAAGUCGUGAAUUCACUGCUAAGCUACCACUGCUGGGUCCUUCAGCAAGACUUAACCACUCAGUUGUAAAAAUGUAAAAGUAUAACGCUCUUUCACUUCUGUAAAUCGCUCUGGAUACGGGAAUCUGCCAAAUUCCAUAAAUAUUUUGAUCAGUGUUUGGUUUAGUCCCCCCAAACACUGAACACCACUUGAACACUGACCCCAACCCCCAUACACUAGUGCAAAGAUCCAAACGCUUAUUCAAACAUUAGAACACAAAACCAACCAAGA
ensembl:lncRNA